rnacentral:misc_RNA from 1 species
UUUCCGUAGGUGAACCUGCGGAAGGAUCAUUAGUGAAUUUUAGGGUGCUCUACUUCGCGUAGAGGCCUGACCUCCACUUUCUAACCCUGUGCACUAUUUGGCUUGCGAGAACGAAGAGCUUCGGCUUGGACAUUUGAGCGAGCGGCUUCAUUUUAAACACUAGUUAAAGAAUGUAACCAAAAACAAAACUAAAAAACUUUCAACAACGGAUCUCUUGGCUCUCGCAUCGAUGAAGAACGCAGC